UACGGAGGAUGCGAGCGUUAUCCGGAUUUAUUGGGUUUAAAGGGUGCGUAGGCGGACGCUUAAGUCAGCGGUAAAAUUGCGGGGCUCAACCUCGUCGAGCCGUUGGAACUGGGUGCCUUGAGUGGGCGAGAAGUACGCGGAAUGCGUGGUGUAGCGGUGAAAUGCAUAGAUAUCACGCAGAACUCCGAUUGCGAAGGCAGCGUACCGGCGCCCAACUGACGCUGAAGCACGAAGGCGUGGGUAUCGAACAGG
rnacentral:rRNA from 1 species